rnacentral:rRNA from 1 species
ACGGGAGGCAGCAGUGAGGAAUAUUGGUCAAUGGGCGAGAGCCUGAACCAGCCAAGUAGCGUGCAGGAUGACGGCCCUAUGGGUUGUAAACUGCUUUUAUAAGGGAAUAAAGUGACGUACGUGUACGUUUUUGCAUGUACCUUAUGAAUAAGGACCGGCUAAUUCCGUGCCAGCAGCCGCGGUAAUACGGAAGGUCCGGGCGUUAUCCGGAUUUAUUGGGUUUAAAGGGAGCGUAGGCGGGUUUUUAAGCGUGUUGUGAAAUGUCGUGGCUCAACCUCAGCACUGCAGCGCGAACUGGAGACCUUGAGUGCGCCGGAAGUAGGCGGAAUUCGUCGUGUAGCGGUGAAAUGCUUAGAUAUGACGAAGAACUCCGAUUGCGAAGGCAGCUGUCCGGGGUGUAACUGACGCUAAUGCUCGAAAGUGCGGGUAUCAAACAGGAUUAGAUACCCUGGUA